UUCCCAGUAAAGGGUGCUCACCUGCAUUCAUUAGGCCUCUUUCCAUCUACCAAGCCAGUUCAACAGAGUCCUACAAAUGCUUGUAUAGAAAAUGUUCCUGGGACUUUAAAAUCUAGUGCCUCGGCAGCUUUUUGAGUUGGGCAUGUAUUUACAUUUUGGGCCCUCAACUGGGAAACCAAAUCAACUGGACCCACAAGGAUGGGUGUCAUGGAUGUUCCCCGGGACCACGAUGUGACUUGAGGGCUGCCAUAAGGAGAAUUUGUUUUUUGUUUUGUUAUUUUGGACCAACUUUACUUGUGCUAAAUAAAUGUAAGUUCUUCAUAGUACUAUAUAAUCAACUAAUUGUACAUCUAUGUGCUAAAAUGACCCCACUUAAUGUAUACUAGGUGUAGUUGUAAGACAUUAUUUGAGAUGUCUUCUAUACACUUACAACGUAGAGACAUGGAGAGCUACUUGCAAAUAGUAUGAAAUAAAGCAGAAGUGUCACUAGAUUAUCCCAUGUGUACUUUUUCAGUACUUCAAUACAGACUCAUCAAACUGGUGUCUUUUAUAUCAGUGCAUGUAUAUGGUAUUGCAGUACAUUACAUUGCAGUGUUAUUAUACUAAAUCACCUUUGUGUAUGUGUGUAUAUAUAUAUAUAACAUGUUUGACAUAUUUACACAAUUGUACUGUAGGCCUGAGUGUUUGUCUGUUUAAUUGCACUGGGAUGACUUCUGGCAUUGCACACUCCAAGAUUGUUCCAGUUGGAAGUGGUUCUUGUACGUUGACCUUUUGUGUGAAAUGAGAACACGUUGACUAGCAGAUAUUGAAUCGACAAUGUACGUGUAAAUUAGACAAGAGCUGGAGCAAUGCUGUAGUUAUCGCACCCUGAAACUGCUGCUCACACUAAGACGAGCUGAAGCCAUGAUCUGCCUGGCUGCUCUCAAAAUGAUUGUUUGAAAAUAUUGUGUGCAUUUCCAUAAUGCUGUGUUGUGUAGCCUCCUACACAACUCCUAGCUGUCCUUCUGUAGGGUUCGAGUAGCCCUGGAAUAGGAUGCAUAUUUCCCAAUUGCUUUUGCGUCAAGGACCGAGGGACCAUGUACACAAACUCACAUAAUGGAUUGUUAAUUCAAAAUGAGCACCAACCACUUGUACAGAGCAACUAGAUACAGGCAACUGCCAAAAGAGAAGAAACAAUAGGGCGUUGGGCCACCACGAGUUGCCAGAACAGCGUCAACGCUUCUUGGCAGAGAUUCUACAAAAAGUGGUGGAAAAUGUCCCAAGCGCCGCUCCAGAAUCGCUCAUAAGUGUUAAAUUGGGCUGAGAUCUGGUGACACACAACCCCUCUUUUAAAGUCAAUGAGAUCUCUUCUUCAAGCCACGGUAGCCAAAAUAAUAACUGGGCAUUCUUAAACAUGUUGAUUGCUCAUUUACCUCAGGAACCACACCCGUUUUCUAUAUACACUAUAUUUUAACAUUGUCUUAUCAGUUAGACACUCUUAUCCAGAGCAACUUACAGUAGUGAGCGCAUUCAUUUUUCAUACUGAUAUAUAUAUAUAUAUAUAUAACCCACCACCCGAGUGCAGCAAGAGCCAUGUUCUUCCAACUGAGCCACACUUCAUAUCCCUCAUUUACUCGAGGGUAUUUAUUUUUGGCAGUUACCUGUACAAACGCAACAAAGCUUGACCUUUCAUUUCAUGUUUGGCGCCAUCUCCUGGUAACCUUGUGGUAGAUCUGUAAUUAACAGGCAAAUACUUCCAGUUUGGAGUAAUCGAACAGACUAAAU